rnacentral:rRNA from 1 species
UACGGAGGGUGCAAGCGUUGUCCGGAUUCACUGGGUUUAAAGGGUGCGUAGGCGGACAGGUAAGUCAGUGGUGAAAUCUCCGAGCUUAACUCGGAAACUGCCUUUGAUACUCUCUGUCUUGAAUAUGUGGAGGUAAGCGGAAUAUGUCAUGUAGCGGUGAAAUGCUUAGAGAUGACAUAGAACACCUAUUGCGAAGGCAGCUUACUACGCCUAUAUUGACGCUGAGGCACGAAAGCGUGGGGAUCAAACAGG